GACGAAGGGGGCUAGCGUUGUUCGGAAUUACUGGGCGUAAAGCGCGUGUAGGCGGUUGCCAAAGUCGGGUGGGAAAGCCUUGAGCUCAACUCAAGAAAUGCACUCGAUACUUGGUGACUAGAGGACCGGAGAGGAUAGUGGAAUUCCCAGUGUAGUGGUGAAAUACGUAGAGAUUGGGAAGAACACCAGUGGCGAAGGCGGCUAUCUGGACGGUUUCUGACGCUAAGACGCGAAAGCGUGGGGAGCAAACAGG
rnacentral:rRNA from 1 species